rnacentral:rRNA from 1 species
UGCAUGUCUAAGUACAUGCCGUAUCAAGGCGAAACCGCGAAUGGCUCAUUAAAUCAGUUAUGGUUCCUUGGAUCGUACCUUACUACUUGGAUAACUGUGGCAAUUCUAGAGCUAAUACAUGCAGCAGAGCUCCGACCUUCGGGGACGAGCGCUUUUAUUAGACCAAAACCAAUCGGACCUCGCGUCCGUACUCUGUGGUGACUCUGUAUAACUUUGGGCUGAUCGCACGGGCCCGUCCCGGCGACGUAUCUUUCAAGUGUCUGCCUUAUCAACUUUCGAUGGUAGGUUACGCGCCUACCAUGGUCGUAACGGGUAACGGGGAAUCAGGGUUCGAUUCCGGAGAGGGAGCCUGAGAAACGGCUACCACAUCCAAGGAAGGCAGCAGGCGCGCAAAUUACCCACUCCCAGAACGGGGAGGUAGUGACGAAAAAUAACAAUACGGGACUCUUUUGAGACCCCGUAAUUGGAAUGAGUACACUCUAAAUCCUUUCACGAUGAACAAUUGGAGGGCAAGUCUGGUGCCAGCAGCCGCGGUAAUUCCAGCUCCAAUAGCGUAUAUUAAAGUUGUUGCGGUUAAAAAGCUCGUAGUUGGAUCUCAGUUCCAGACGGGUGGUCCGCCUUACGGUGGUUACUGCCUGUUCUGAACAGCCAGCCGGUUUCUCUUGAUGAUCUUCACCGGUUGUCUUGGGUGACCGGCAAGUUUACUUUGAAAAAAUUAGAGUGCUCAAAGCAGGCGUGACGCCUGAAUAAUGGUGCAUGGAAUAAUGGAAUAGGACCUCGGUUCUAUUUUGUUGGUUUUCGGAUCACGAGGUAAUGAUUAAGAGGGACAGACGGGGGCAUUCGUAUUGCGACGCUAGAGGUGAAA